GAGCCAAGCCUUGGCCAUGGCUAUUUUUGAGAGCAGGUGGUACAAGCAGAGCAAACGUAUAAAUCAGAUGGUAAUUAUUACAGUGCUUAGAAGCAGAAGACACCUGUAUUUAAGUAUUGGACCUUUUGGAGAAAUGGUAAUCGAUUCAGCUAUAUCUCGGCUUAAAUUAGCUUAUUCCUUUGUAUCAGUAAUGUCUUGAAGAGGCUCAAAAUAAUUUGAAAAAUCGAUGGAAUAUAACUAGUGUUAUAAACUAUAAUUAGAUUAGAAAAGAUUAGAUAUGAAUUAAAUUAAAAAUCAGCAUUAA